UUUUUCUUUUUCCCCUUCCUUUUUGGGGAUCUGAUUGAUUUGAUUUUUGUUCUCUGUUUAUUUGAAUUGUUCGUAAUUCAAACCUCUCAUUUUCCAGUUCAUGUGAGGAAUUACAUCAAAGUAGCGGUGUCCGCGGGUUUGACAAGUUGGUGAAUCGUGAUAGCAAAUUACAGGAAUUUUCACGCAAUCAUUUUGUUUCAUUGCAGGAAGAUUUAUCAUUGAGUUGACCAUUGGUGCAGAUGCAGUUCAUCCUAGUGGGAAAUUAUUUUAUCCAGAUGCCCUCUUCUAUGGAAAACCAGUCUCUGAAACUCUUGCAUAUAUGGAGCUUACCUUAGAGCAGAUAACUUGGAUUGCUGUCCUUAAGAAGCAACAGUCAGUUUUGGCCGUGCCAGUCCCAAAAAAAUUCCUAUUUGUCUGCCUAAACAGUUCUCAAAUAUAUCAGAUGCAGCUCUCUCUUUGUUAGUAUUACUGUUCUUGUGCCUAACUUCGAGUGAGAUGGAUUUAGUUCUUCUGGUCAUCUUGGCUGUCAAUGGGGAAACCAUCAAAAAGUGAUUGCCUCAUGCUCAGUCAGGGGGAGAAGGUUAAGUGGAAGAUUAUAGGAGUAGUAUUUCUAUGUGAGGGGUUGUGAAAGUGAUGGAAAAUUUUCCAAAACUCUAAAUAAGUGGCUUUAGUUAUAAUCAAUGACAUGCUUACCUAUUGCACUAGCUUGAAUUUAAUUGGCACAUAUUUGGUUAGAGAUGGAAAGGACAAACACGAUGGAUGGGUCACUGAAGCUAUUUGCCUUAUAAUUGAGUGACAGUGCUCAAAAGCCAUUUGAUUCUCUUUAUUUGCUAGAAUGCCUGCCACUGGUAGUCUGGUACAAGUUUUUUUUCAGCCUGGUAAUCUCUUUGUUCCUCUAUUUAUGCAUUUAUAUAAACUGGAGGAUAAUUCAUUGCAAUACAUUUACUAAUUCAACUCCCUGAUUUGUGGAAUAUGCCUUGCUACCAGCAUUUUUUUUCAGACAAAAGGAAAUUAGAAUUUUGUGGCGGACCUUUUCCAGGCUGCAAUCAUAACUGUAGUUACAUAAUGGACCUAGUAUCCAUUUAUAGUUCAAGUAGUUAAAUAUAUAAGAUUGUAGAAUUGUUCAUUCAGAGAUUCAUCUCCUAUUUUUUAGUCCACUGCACGAAUCUACUAGUCUUCUGUACCUAAGUUUUUUCUCGACUUUUGUAGUGGUGCUUUUCCACAAUGGAAGGGUUUUAAAUGUACUGGAGGAGUAAUGGCAUCAGAAGCUGUUUCUCUUUUAUGAAGUUUCUAUGAACAAGGUAACGCUAUGGUCCAAAGCCUCAUAGACCUUUGGCUCGCCAGGACGCAUAUUAGAUGUGUCGAUAUUUGUGGCUCAGAAUUCACCAAAUGUGAAGGAUGAUUCAGGGAAAAGUAACGUUAUCAAAGCUAGAGAAAACAUCGGAACUUGACAGAAUCUUGGCGACUACACACAAUGAUCUAGGCAAAUACUGGAAAAUUUUCAGGGCCAUUGUCCAUUCCUGUAAUUGUAAUCCAUGGAGAACUUUGAUGUACUAUGCCUUAAAUUUAUAUAAAUAUAAUAAUAUCAUUAUUCCA